UUAUAACAGGUUAAACUUUAUAAAACUUUACUGUUUUCUAAUGUUUUAUAACAGGUUAAACUUUAUAAAACUUUACUGUUUCUAAUGUUUUAUAACAGGUUAAACUUUAUAAAACUUUACUGUUCUCUAAUGUUUUAUAACAGGACAAACUUUAGCGGUAUACUUUGAAGGAAAAGCGUAAUAAGUUUAGGUUUUAUGUACAAGGCUGCACUUUUCAACAAACUKAAAGAUAGAUGCAUUAAAUUAUACAAAAAAUAAAGUUUAUCUCAGAUUUAAACUUUAAUAAAUGUUACUUUCUGACUGCAGAGAAGAUUGUAAGUUUUAGUUUGAUUAUAACGAUAGUAAUGAAAAAAAUUACUUGUUUAUGAUAAAAUUUAUUGUCUCCGUGUUUAAAUAAUUUGUUUUUGGAUCUUUGAGGAAUAAAUUAACAAAACGUGUCGUUUAAAUUUUCUAAUAAAUCAACGGUGCAGAGUGGAGAAGUGGCGCCACCUACUGUUGCUCUUCUUCGUUUACCGAGCUAACGAGCUAGCAARCUAACAAGCUAUCAAGCUAACAAUCUAGCUAGCUAAGAAGGUAGCAAGAUAAGCUAACGAGUUAACAACCUAGUGAGCUAACAAACUAGCAAGCGAACAUGUUUUUUGCACUUAAUGUUUGGUUUGUGUUCAGAYUUAGACGCACAUCAGGAACUAUUUUUCUCCAUGGAGGAACACGACCCAGGUGUGUCUCCGCUGAGACCUGAUCUGGUUUCUGAUUGGCUGGCAGGUCUCAGAUUAGAAGCCAUGUUUUUCAGAUAGAUUCAGAUAAUUUAAUAUAAUAUUAUAAAGAUAUAAAAUAUUAUAAAGUCGUAACAAGAAGCUUAAUGUAUUUAAUAAAGGUUGGUUUAUGGCUGUGUYGUUGUAAUAAAGACCUUCAGGCGUUAAUCCAGAUUAAAAAUUGGUAAAACUGGAGGAUUUAAACUUUUGAACCAGCCCUUUAAUUAGUGAUAAUUUAUAAACGAAGUGAUUUCCACCAUCAGCUGAUGGAACAAGAGCUUAAUGUGUCUAAMUGCUAUAAAACACCACAGCUACACUAAUCUAUGAUAAUCUACAGGAUUAUAAUCUGACACAUUUACAUUCUGGAUCUGAGGGCAGGUCCUGUAGAAAACCUCAGCUCUGUACAACUUUGGGAUGUGAUUGUAGCUCGGCAGGAGUUCAGCCUCUUUCACCAAACACUGGGAWGGGGAGGGGGCGGGGCUUCAGGUUAACCCGCUGCUGUCACGUGUCUGAG